GCCCACCCACUCGCGGUGUGAACAUACUGGGUCUCGCCUCUCCUUUCCCCUCCCCUCGGCCUGGUGCUGAAUCAUGAGCCCAAUGUCUCCAAAAGUUUCCUCCUGCCAUUUGGUUGUUAUCCACACUCUCUACUGAUCGGUUCUUAGGAGAUCACUGCCAGCCUCUUAAUUACCAGAUCCAUGAUCUCUGCUAAUUCCUCAUGACACAGUCUCCCUCUGUCGCCCAGGCUGGAGUGCAGUGGCGUGAUCUCAGGUCACUACAACCUCCACCUCCCAGGUUCAAGCGAUUCUCAUGCCUCAGCCUCUCAAAUAGCUGGGAUUACUGGCAGUCACCAGCACGCCUGGCGGUUUUUGUAUGUAGAAACGGGGUGUCUCCACGUUGCCCAGGCUGGUCUCAAACUCAUGAGCUCAAGUGAUCUGCCCACCUCAGCCUCUUGAUGUCAUGUCUUUUAAAUUAAGUAGCUGGCAUUCCCUCUCCCACUUUUCUAUGUUGAG